GACGUAGGUGGCGAACGUUAUCCGGAAUUAUUGGGCGUAAAGGGUGCGUAGGCGGCAUGAUAAGUUAUUGGCGGGAAAUCGAGGCUCAACCUCGUGGAAACUAAUAAUACUGUUUUGCUUGAGUACAGGAGAGGUUAACGGAACUCCAUGUGGAGCGGUAAAAUGUGUAGAUAUAUGGAAGAACAUCAAUAACGGCGAAGGCAGUUAACUAGUCUGUUACUGACGUUGAGGCACGAAAGCGUGGGGAGCAAAACGG
rnacentral:rRNA from 1 species